rnacentral:rRNA from 1 species
UGGGGAAUAUUGGACAAUGGGCGCAAGCCUGCUCCAGCCAUGCCGCGUGAGUGAUGAAGGCCCUAGGGUUGUAAAGCUCUUUCACCGGUGAAGAUAAUGACGGUAACCGGAGAAGAAGCCCCGGCUAACUUCGUGCCAGCAGCCGCGGUAAUACGAAGGGGGCUAGCGUUGUUCGGAUUUACUGGGCGUAAAGCGCACGUAGGCGGACUUUUAAGUCAGGGGUGAAAUCCCGGGGCUCAACCCCGGAACUGCCGUUGAUACUGGAAGUCUUGAGUAUGGUAGAGGUGAGUGGAAUUCCGAGUGUAGAGGUGAAAUUCGUAGAUAUUCGGAGGAACACCAGUGGCGAAGGCGGCUCACUGGACCAUUACUGACGCUGAGGUGCGAAAGCGUGGGGAGCAAACAGG